rnacentral:misc_RNA from 1 species
CACAAAUUUUUUAAGCGACAAAAGAAGUAGAAAGUAGAUGAGAAACUACAGACACUGCUUGGCAAAAUUAAAGUGAAGAGUUUCCAGCAAUGUCGAUUACAAAACGAUAUCUAACAUCGUUUCUUGCGAGUCGUUCAAGGGCUUCAUUGAUGUUCUCUGGUUUCACAACCUCAAUGUCGCAAGUGAUAUUAUACUUUCCACACACAUCCAUCAUUUCUUGCGUUUCUUUCAUUCCCCCUGUCAUGCUUCCCUUCACUGUUCUCUUGCCAAAUAUCAGAGGGAAAGAAGGCAGCUCAAAAGGCUUUUCUGGGGCACCCACUGCCACCAAUGUCCCAUUCACCUUGAGCAAUUCCAAGAUUGGCCCAAGAGAGUGAUUAGCUGACACUGUAUCAAUGAUAAGAUCCAGAGUUCUCUUCCCUGCCUUCAUUUGUUUAGGAUUUGUGCUGACUAUGAAAUCAUCUGCCCCCAAGCGUUCUUUGGCCUCCCUUUCUUUAGAUGGGGAGGUACUAAUCACAGUUACAUGGUGAUCAAAUGCUUUGCCAAACUUCACAGCUACAUGUCCAAGACCCCCUAAACCGACUAUCCCUAUCCUUUUCCCUGGCGACUUUAGCAGCUCGUUGUCUUUCAUGGGGCUGAAUACAGUGAUUCCCGCACAAAGCAAAGGCGCUGCUGCAUCCAUUGGCAGGUUUUCCGGUAUUUGCACCACGUACCUAUGAUCUGCAACCAACAUUUCGGAGUAGCCACCGUAGGUGAUGCUUCCAUCCCAGAAAAUGCCAUUGUAAGUAAGCUGUAUCUGAUCACAGUAAUUCUCUUGGGAGCUCUUGCAGAACUCGCACUCCAA